GACUCCAGCUGGCACCUUGAGAGGCAGAAGAACCACCUGGCCAACCCACAGAAAUGCAGGAAAUAAGAAAUUAUGUUUGUUUUAGGCCGUCAAGUUUCUAGGUAGUCUGCUGUGCAGUGAGACACAAUGCUUAUAGACCUUGAAGCUUAAAUUUCAUCAGCUUCAUGGGAAAUCUAGCCCUGGGCAAAGAGCCUGGGGAUGGAGGCAGUGACUCAUGCACACGACAAAUGAUAAAGAACCGUGUGCUGACUCUCCAUGCGGGUGAUUCUCCCAGUCCAGUCCCCUACAGGCCCCCCCUUCCUUCUGUGUUUUGCUUUGUAUCAGGGUUGCUGACUCUACUGAUGAAACGCAUCACUUUCUCCUUCACUGGUUGGUUCCAGGUGUGUUUGUCAAACGCCUCGUCAAGAAGGUUUGCCGAGGAAAUGCCAAGGCUGUCAGCAUGGUGUGGACAUCUUCACCUUGCCUGCCUUCACCUCACCCAGCCCUUCACUGCCAAGGGCAGAGGACAGGCUUUGAGUCCCCCACCACACUUUAGCUGGAUCCAAAGAAAAGGGCUUGGUGAACAGAGGACCACUGGCCAUGCGAAGCUAAGGUGUGGGAUGAAUAGAUAGAUUCACAGAGCUGCGUCUCUGCUCCUCUGUGGUUCUCACUGUCAGCAAAAAACUCAAAGAGACCGCGUGUUAGAGAACCACCCAGGAGAGGCAGGCUUCCAGAACCCUGGAGCCUUGUGGUUUUUACUGAAUUCCUGCCUCUAUUUAAGAACUAUUUGCACAUUUCAAUAUCUUUCCCUCUAUGUUCAUUUCCCCUUUUAUAAAAAUUCACACAUGAACCCUGUGUUGAGCUGCUUCUUAUGAAUCUUGUAACCUAACCACAGACCAGUGAGUCACUCUAGGGUCCUGGACCUCAGUUUUCACAUCCAUGAAAUGGGAAAAUAUCUCCUCCUGAGACUUUCUGAAAGGCUUCUAUAAGAAGGUACAAAACUGAUGGGUGAUCAUAGAGCCUUCUAGAGACUUGCAAUUGUGGAUAGCAGGGAAUGUCUUGGUACUCAUGAAUUUUUAACACACUAUUUGUUAAAGUCCAUUAGGGAAAGGGGUGCCACAAAAUGUGUUUCUGACUCUAAGAUCAAGAGGAGAAUGCAAGGUCACUGUCCUUUGAACCUCAACCUUCAGCCCCUAGUUAUACAUGAUGGGAUAAUCCAGGUAAUCCCAGUGUCCUCCAUGGGAGGGAAAGCUCUCCAGCAACCAGACAGAAUUAAAACUGAAAGCAGCAUUUAUUCAUCUCUCUCUACAGAUGCCCAAAGAGAUUGAUUGAGAAUAUCAACCAGGCUUCUUAAAAUCCACCUUCCCCUGCCUCCACUUUCUUUCUCACACACCCUACACAGCUCCCUGGAAGCUUCUUUCUUUCCUAGCCCCGGGCUCAGCUUCCCCAGCAAACUGCUCCCAUCCUGAAGUGGGCUGUUCUUGCUCCUUCGAUGGGUCUAGGCUUUUUUCAUCCCUCCUCUGAGUUUACACCUCAUCACCCCCACUCCGGUUCUAUCCACCCAGUGUCCCAAAUUUGCAUCACAAAAGCUUAUCACAGGAGAUUAGCCCCAGCAAAGGUGGACUUCUCUUU
rnacentral:lncRNA from 1 species